ACUGUAUCCUCAGUCGGCAAUGAGUGCUCUCCACAGGUCUCCAGUUAGAAGGGUCACAAGCAAGUACAAAAGAGGUACUUGGCUUCAGCUGCUGGGCUAGCUAUUGGAGAAGUGGACUCGGGGACAAUUUCAGCAAAGAAUAUUGUAGACUGUCGCUCAAAUACAGCUAUCUGAAAGCAAGAAAUUUCCACUCCACUCCUGAAGAAGAAGGGACAUUUUGGGCUUCAUCCAGACCCAUUACUAAUUUACUGACUGGAAAGGAGAGUGAUUUAUCUGAUUGAUUCACUUUCAUUUGAAGUAACUUCAGGAGCUGAUGGCAAUGAUAUUUCAGCUAUUUGCACAAGAUUAGAUAGUUUCUCGUGAAUUGUAAUAACUCUAAAAAUAA